AACGAACGCUGGCGGCAGGCUUAACACAUGCAAGUCGAGCGCCCCGCAAGGGGAGCGGCAGACGGGUGAGUAACGCGUGGGUAUCUACCCAUCACUACGGAAUAACGCAUGGAAACGUGUGCUAAUACCGUAUACGUCCUUCGGGAGAAAGAUUUAUCGGAGAUGGAUGAGCCCGCGUUGGAUUAGCUAGUUGGUGGGGUAAAGGCCUACCAAGGCGACGAUCCAUAGCUGGUCUGAGAGGAUGAUCAGCCACACUGGGACUGAGACACGGCCCAGACUCCUACGGGAGGCAGCAGUGGGGAAUAUUGGACAAUGGGCGCAAGCCUGAUCCAGCCAUGCCGCGUGAGUGAUGAAGGCCCUAGGGUUGUAAAGCUCUUUCACCGGUGAAGAUAAUGACGGUAACCGGAGAAGAAGCCCCGGCUAACUUCGUGCCAGCCGCCGCAGUAACAC
rnacentral:rRNA from 1 species